UACGUAGGGGGCUAGCGUUGUCCGGAAUCAUUGGGCGUAAAGCGCGUGUAGGCGGUCCGGUACGUCCGCUGUGAAAGUCGGGGGCUCAACCCUCGAAUGCCGGUGGAUACUGUCGGGCUAGAGUGCGGAAGAGGCGAGUGGAAUUCCUGGUGUAGCGGUGAAAUGCGCAGAUAUCAGGAGGAACACCAAUGGCGAAGGCAGCUCGCUGGGACGUUACUGACGCUGAGACGCGAAAGCGUGGGGAGCAAACAGG
rnacentral:rRNA from 1 species